rnacentral:rRNA from 1 species
GUUGGUGAACCAGCGGAGGGAUCAUUACCGAGUUUACAACUCCCAAACCCCUGUGAACAUACCUAUACGUUGCCUCGGCGGAUCAGCCCGCGCCCUGUAAAAAGGGACGGCCCGCCCGAGGACCCUAAACUCUGUUUUUAGUGGAACUUCUGAGUAAAACAAACAAAUAAAUCAAAACUUUCAACAACGGAUCUCUUGGUUCUGGCAUCGAUGAAGAACGCAGCAAAAUGCGAUAAGUAAUGUGAAUUGCAGAAUUCAGUGAAUCAUCGAAUCUUUGAACGCACAUUGCGCCCGCCAGUAUUCUGGCGGGCAUGCCUGUUCGAGCGUCAUUUCAACCCUCAAGCUCAGCUUGGUGUUGGGACUCGCGGUAACCCGCGUUCCCCAAAUCGAUUGGCGGUCACGUCGAGCUUCCAUAGCGUAGUAAUCAUACACCUCGUUACUGGUAAUCGUCGCGGCCACGCCGUAAAACCCCAACUUCUGAAUGUUGACCUCGGAUCAGGUAGGAAUACCCGCUGAACUUAAGCAUAUCA